UACGGAGGAUGCAAGCGUUAUCCGGAAUGAUUGGGCGUAAAGCGUCCGCAGGUGGCGAUGUAAGUCUGCUGUUAAAGAGUCUAGCUCAACUAGAUAAGAGCAGUGGAAACUACAUAGCUAGAGUACGUUCGGGGCAGAGGGAAUUCCUGGUGUAGCGGUGAAAUGCGUAGAGAUCAGGAAGAACACCGGUGGCGAAGGCGCUCUGCUAGGCCGCAACUGACACUGAGGGACGAAAGCUAGGGGAGCGAAUGGG
rnacentral:rRNA from 1 species